GGAAUAUUGGACAAUGGGGGGAACCCUGAUCCAGCCAUGCCGCGUGUGUGAAGAAGGCCUUUUGGUUGUAAAGCACUUUAAGCGAGGAGGAGGCUACUUAGAUUAAUACUCUAAGAUAGUGGACGUUACUCGCAGAAUAAGCACCGGCUAACUCUGUGCCAGCAGCCGCGGUAAUACAGAGGGUGCAAGCGUUAAUCGGAUUUACUGGGCGUAAAGGGUACGUAGGUGGUCUUUUAAGUCGGAUGUGAAAUCCCUGAGCUUAACUUAGGAAUUGCAUUCGAUACUGGGAGACUAGAGUAUGGGAGAGGAUGGUAGAAUUCCAGGUGUAGCGGUGAAAUGCGUAGAGAUCUGGAGGAAUACCGAUGGCGAAGGCAGCCAUCUGGCCUAAUACUGACACUGAGGUACGAAAGCAUGGGGAGCAAACAGGAUUAGAUACCCGAG
rnacentral:rRNA from 1 species